CGGACGGGUGAGUAACGCGUGGGUAACCUACCCUGUACACACAGAUAACAUACCGAAAGGUAUGCUAAUACGGGAUAAUAUAUUUGAGAGGCAUCUCUUGAAUAUCAAAGGUGAGCCGGUACAGGAUGGACCCGCGUCUGAUUAGCUAGUUGGUAAGGUAACGGCUUACCAAGGCGACGAUCAGUAGCCGACCUGAGAGGGUGAUCGGCCACACUGGAACUGAGACACGGUCCAG
rnacentral:rRNA from 1 species